rnacentral:rRNA from 1 species
GAGAUUUUCGCAAUGCCCGAAAGGGUGACGAAGCGACGCCGCGUGCGGGAAGAAGGCCUUCGGGUUGUAAACCGCUGUCGGGAGUUAAGAAAUGUAAGGAUGUUAAUAGCAUCUUUACUUGACUAAGGCUCCGGAGGGAGCCACGGCUAACUCUGUGCCAGCAGCCGCGGUAAUACAGAGGCGGCAAGCGUUGUUCGGAAUUAUUGGGCGUAAAGAGCACGUAGGCGGCUAUGUAAGUCGGUUGUGAAAGCCUUCCGCUCAACGGGAGAACAGUAUCCGAUACUGCAUGGCUUGAGUGCGGGAGGGGAGAGUGGAACUUCUGGUGGAGCGGUGAAAUGCGUAGAUAUCGAGAAGAACUCCAAUGGCGAAGGCAGCUCGCUAGACACCCCCUGACGCUGAACUGCGAAAGCCAGGGGAGCAAACGGGAUUAGAUACCCCGGUAGUCCUGGCCGUAAACGAUGGGCACUAAGUAGAGGGGUUUUA